rnacentral:lncRNA from 1 species
CAUGAUUGUGAUGCCUCCCAGCCAUGUGGAAAUCACCCUGGCAAAGUAUACAUAAAAAUCAUGAAUCUGUGUCUCCGGGACCCAUCAGUGAAAUUCCUGGAGCACUGGCCUAAGGACUUGACCUCUUGCCCACCAGAUAACUCUUGUUAAAACAGAUUUCAAGUCAUAAUCUCUCCUGAAGACUCUUGAUUCAUUGUCAUGCAUCCCCUGGUACUAUUAUACACAUCCAUUAUAAGAAGAAAGCUAACAGAAAAUAUGCUUCCUUGCCAGAGUAUACUACUAAGUUGGAAUCACAGCAGUAUUUUCUUCUAUGAACUCUAUAGCUUAGCUUAUUAAUA